rnacentral:rRNA from 1 species
UACGUAGGGAGCAAGCGUUGUCCGGAUUUAUUGGGCGUAAAGAACGUGUAGGCGGUUUGGUAGGUCCGCUGUGAAAGUCAAAGGCUACAACCUUUGAAUGUCAGCGGAUACUGCCGGGCUAGAGUCCGGAAGAGGCGAGUGGAACUCCUGGUGUAGCGGUGGAAUGCGCAGAUAUCAGGAAGAACACCAACGGCGAAGGCAGCUCGCUGGGACGGUACUGACGCUGAGACGCGAAAGCGUGGGGGAGCGAACAGG